UGAACGCUAGCGGCAGGCUUAAUACAUGCAAGUCGAGGGGUAGCAUGAUUGUAGCAAUACAAUUGAUGACGACCGGCAAACGGGUGCGGAACACGUACACAACCUUCCUACAAGUGGGGAAUAGCCCAGAGAAAUUUGGAUUAAUACCCCGUAACAUAGCGAUGUGGCAUCACAUUGCUAUUAUAGCUUCGGCGCUUGUUGAUGGGUGUGCGGCUGAUUAGUUAGUUGGCAGGGUAACGGCCUACCAAGACGAUGAUCAGUAGGGGGCGUCAGAGCGUGGUCCCCCACACUGGCACUGAGAUACGGGCCAGACUCCUACGGGAGGCAGCAGUAGGGAAUAUUGGGCAAUGGAUGCAAGUCUGACCCAGCCAUGCCGCGUGCAGGAAGAAGGUCCUCUGGAUUGUAAACUGCUUUUAUCGGGGAAGAAUAGUUUUCUUGCGAGGGAAUGUGACGGUACCCGAUGAAUAAGCCACGGCUAACUACGUG
rnacentral:rRNA from 1 species